rnacentral:rRNA from 1 species
AUUGAACGCUGGCGGCAGGCCUAACACAUGCAAGUCGAACGAGUGGCGGACGGGUGAGUAAUGUCUGGGAAACUGCCCGAUGGAGGGGGAUAACUACUGGAAACGGUAGCUAAUACCGCAUACCAUCGGAUGUGCCCAGAUGGGAUUAGCUAGUCGGUGGGGUAACGGCUCACCUAGGCGACGAUCCCUAGCUGGGCUGAGAGGAUGACCAGCCACACUGAGACUUGGACACGGUCCAGACUCCUACGGGAGGCAGCAGUGGGGAAUAUUGCACAGUGGGCGCAGGCCUGAUGCAGCCAUGCCGCGUGUAUGAAGAAGGCAUUCGGGUUGUAAAGUACUUUCAGCGGGGAGGCGUUAACCGCAGAAGAAGCACCGGCUAACUCCGUGCCAGCAGCCGCGGUAAUUG